rnacentral:rRNA from 1 species
CACGUAGGGUGCGAGCGUUGUCCGGAAUUAUUGGGCGUAAAGAGCUCGUAGGCGGUGUGUCGCGUCGGCCGUGAAAACCUGCAGCUUAACUGUGGGCUUGCGGUCGAUACGGGCAUCACUGGAGUUCGGCAGGGGAGACUGGAAUUCCUGGUGUAGCGGUGAAAUGCGUAGAUAUCAGGAGGAAUACCGAUGGCGAAGGCAGGUCUCUGGGCUAACACUGACGCUCAUGCACGAAAGCGUGGGGAGCAAACAGG